rnacentral:rRNA from 1 species
AGUUUGAUCCUGGCUCAGAAUGAACGCUGGCGGCAGGCCUAACACAUGCAAGUCGAACGGAAACGACAAGAACAAACUCUUCGGAGGGCGAUCUUGGGCGUCGAGUGGCGGACGGGUGAGUAACGCGUGGGAAUCUACCCUUUAGUUGGGGACAACAUAUGGAAACGUAGUCGCUAAUAUCGGCUAGCUGUGACGUUAACUUUAGAAGAAGCACCGGCUAACUCUGUGCCAGCAGCCGCGGUAAUACAAAGGGUGCAAGCGUUAUUCGGAAUUACUGGGCGUAAAGCGCGCGUAGGCGGGCUGUUAAGUCGGUUGUGAAAGCCCUGGGCUCAACCUAGGAAUUGCAUCCGAUGCUGGCAAUCUAGAGUUUAGGAGAGGGAAGUGGAAUUCCUGGUGUAGCAGUGAAAUGCGUAGAUAUCAGGAGGAACAUCAGUGGCGAAGGCGACUUCCUGGCCUAAAACUGACGCUGAGGUGCGAAAGCGUGGGUAGCGAACGGGAUUAGAUACCCUGGUAGUC